AUUGAACGCUGGCGGCAUGCCUUACACAUGCAAGUCGAACGGCAGCACGGGUGCUUGCACCUGGUGGCGAGUGGCGAACGGGUGAGUAAUACAUCGGAACAUGUCCCGUAGUGGGGGAUAGCCCGGCGAAAGCCGGAUUAAUACCGCAUACGAUUUACGGAUGAAAGCGGGGGACCGUCGGGCCUCGCGCUUUCGGGUUGGCCGAUGGCUGAUUAGCUAGUUGGUGGGGUAAAGGCCUACCAAGGCGACGAUCAGUAGCUGGUCUGAGAGGACGACCAGCCACACUGGGACUGAGACACGGCCCAGACUCCUACGGGAGGCAGCAGUGGGGAAUUUUGGACAAUGGGCGAAAGCCUGAUCCAGCAAUGCCGCGUGUGUGAAGAAGGCCUUCGGGUUGUAAAGCACUUUUGUCCGGAAAGAAAUCCUUGGCCCUAAUACGGUCGGGGGAUGACGGUACCGGAAGAAUAAGCACCGGCUAACUACGUG
rnacentral:rRNA from 1 species